rnacentral:rRNA from 1 species
GACGAACGCUGGCGGCGUGCCUAAUACAUGCAAGUCGAGCGGAUGGAUGGGAGCUUGCUCCCUGAAGUUAGCGGCGGACGGGUGAGUAACACGUGGGCAACCUGCCUGUAAGACUGGGAUCACUUCGGGAAACCGGAGCUAAUACCGGAUACGUUGUUUUCUCGCAUGAGGGAAGAUGGAAAGUUGGUUUCGGCUAUCAGUUACCGACGGGCCCGCGGCGCAUUAGCGAGUUGGUGGGGUAAAGGCUCACCAAGGCGACGAUGCGUAGCCGACAUGAGAGGGUGAUCGGCCACACUGGGACUGAGACACGGCCCAGACUCCUACGGGAGGCAGCAGUAGGGAAUCUUCCGCAAUGGACGAAAGUCUGACGGAGCAACGCCGCGUGAGCGAAGAAGGCCUUCGGGUCGUAAAGCUCUGUUGUCAGGGAAGAACAAGUGCCAGAGUAACUGCUGGCACCUUGAUGGUACCUGACCAGAAAGCCACGGCUAACUACGUGCCAGCCGCCGCGGUAAGAC